UGACCAUCUUCCCUCUGAGUGAUAAGCUUGCCCUGUAUAAACUUGAGAAGGAUCUAGCAAAUCAACCAGACCUCCGUAAGGAACUGGUCAUCACUCUUGGAUUGGCAGGGGGGGCAACAGUAAAAGAAACUGUGUGGCGCAUUUUAAAACAGGCCAUCAAAAAUGACCUUGCUAAGACGAUCUCAUGGCGUGGCCUGAAUGGCAAGGUGCCUUUUGAAAAGCUCCAUCUCAGGGCAGUUGUGACAGAUGCUGUCAGACGUAACCCAAUCUGUCUGGAAGCAACUGAUCUGACCAUUGCUGAUGCUAUUAAAAGGUGGUUCUACUGGGCUGGGGAUCGAGAGGGGGGGAGGAAAAAUCGGAUGCCAGGCUCCAGCCGAGGGCAGCCAGCAGAAUAAUUGUAUC